ACGUUAGCUCAGUUGGUUGGAGCUUGGUGCUGAGAACACCAAGGUUGCAGGUUCGAUUCCCAUAUGGGGUA
rnacentral:tRNA from 1 species